GAUGAACGCUGGCGGCGUGCCUAAUACAUGCAAGUCGAGCGAACAGGGUUGGUACUUGUACCUCUUGGGUGAGCAGCGGACGGGUGAGUAACGCGUGGGUAAUCUACCUUUAAGCGGGGGAUAACUUCUGGAAACGAAUGCUAAUACCGCAUAAAAUCUUUAACCACAUGUUUUAAGAUUGAAAGAUGCAUUUGCUUCACUCAAUGAUGAUAUCGCGUCGUCAUAGGUUGUUGGUUAGGUAAACGCUCAACAAAGCGAUGAUACAUAGGCGACCUGAGAGGGUGAACCGCCACAAUGGGACUGGGACACCGCCCAAGCUCCCACGGGAGGGAACAGGAGGGGAUCUUCGGCAAUGGACGAAAGUCUGACCGGGCAACGCCGGGGGAGUGAAGGAGGGUUUCGGAUCGUAAAACUCUGUUGGUAGGGAAGAACGAUGGUGGGAAUGGAAAGCGCAUCAAGUGACGGUAACUACCCAGAAAGCGACGGCUAACUACGUG
rnacentral:rRNA from 1 species